GACACCUUUAAGUGAGUCCAGAGAGGCAAACAAGGUAUACAAGAUAAAAAAAGGGAAUUCCCUUUUAGUUUGCUGUAGCCUCGCUUCUUUGGUAGCGAGGCUUUUUGGU
rfam:Streptococcus pyogenes MGAS9429, complete genome.